rnacentral:rRNA from 1 species
UACGGAGGGUGCAAACGUUGCUCGGAAUCAUUGGGCGUAAAGCGCACGUAGGUGGCCUGUUAAGUCGGGUGUGAGAUCCCUGGGCUCAACCCAGGAAGUGCACUCGAAACUGGCAGGCUUGAGUACUGAAGAGGAUCGCGGAAUUCCCGGUGUAGAGGUGAAAUUCGUAGAUAUCGGGAGGAACACCAGUGGCGAAGGCGGCGAUCUGGGCAGAUACUGACACUGAGGUGCGAAAGCGUGGGGAGCAAACAGG